GUGGGUGGAUCACGAGGUCAGGAGUUCAAGACCAGCCUGGCCAAGAUGGUGAAACCCCGUCUCUACUAAAAAUACAAAAAUUAGCUGGGCAUGUUGGUGGAUGCCUGUAAUCCCAGCUACUCAGGAGGCUGAGGCAGGAGAAUAGCUUGAACCCAGGAGGCGGAGGUUGCAGUGAGCCGAGAUCAUGCCAUUGCACUACAG
rnacentral:lncRNA from 1 species